rnacentral:rRNA from 1 species
UACGUAGGGGGCAAGCGUUGUCCGGAUUUACUGGGCGUAAAGAGCGUGUAGGCGGCCCAUGCAGGUCCGUUGUGAAAACUGGAGGCUUAACCUCCAGACGUCGACGGAAACCGCGUGGCUAGAGUCCGGAAGAGGAGAGUGGAAUUCCUGGUGUAGCGGUGAAAUGCGCAGAUAUCAGGAAGAACACCAAUGGCGAAGGCAGCUCUCUGGGACGGUACUGACGCUGAGGAGCGAAAAGCGUGGGAGCGAACAGG